GUCUCCUGGUGAAGUCACUCAUUAGAGAACGGACGGGCCACGACUUGUGCCGCAAGUGGUGGCCUGCAGAGCCACCCAGUGGGCAUCCAGACUUCUACUCUAAUAAGGCCCCUUUGUGCUGAGGGUCAGGAGGUAUUCCUCGAACAUUCCAAGUGGUUGGCAAAUCUCCAUCCUUUGAAGUCUCCUGGAAAUGAUAAAGAACGUGCAUAUUCAGACAUGAACUCCAGCGAACGGCACCAGGGCAGAAGUUCUCCUUACCACUCAGCGGGCAGUGACCGCAGACCUGGAGGAUGGGGAGACUGUUCCAGAGGAACGAGCUCACCUCUCAUGCUGCACAAGGGCCACCUGUCAUCUCAAUGACUGAAAAGCACCAGAAGCACAGAAAGCUUUCAUGUGACCCGCCGAGUAGCUCCUGGGAAGGUGUUCCCUCGCCAGGUUCUUGCACAGGAACCGGGCAGGGCCGUCGCGUCACGUGUGUUCCCUGGGCCCCACCUUACCUCCAGCUGCUCCACCAGCUGCAUCUCCAGCGUCAUGAGCACGUUGACCAGCUCGGUGAUGUUCUCGCUGUGCUCCGCCAUCUUUAUCUCGAAGUUGGUCAGUUCAGACUCGUCUCGGAUGGAGCUUAAA